GCAGCAGCGACAUGCGAAAAAUAACAGCUGGUGAGGGGUGAGAGAGGUUCAAUGUCAAGUUCACCGUCAAGUUGGUCAACUCAAGUGGUCAAGUCAUCACCAAGUGGGCCUCGCGUGAACGCGUAUACGUUCGUUCAACCAACCUUCUGUAGCUACGGACGUUUAUCGUGUGUAAAUGAGCCAGGCAGGACAUCAACCGGGCUCUGGUACCGGAAAGGGAGGUGGCAGUGGAGGAUCCAUCCGAGAAGCCGGCGGAGGCCUCGGGAGAAUGGGAGCCGCAAAAGAGGAACAACAUUUCAGGAACGUUCAACAGCAACAGCUCGACGCCAUCAGGAAAGGCCAAGAGGAAGCAAAGACGAAAGAUACACAAAAAUCUGGGACAUAGUGCGAAUAGCUCCAAAGGAAGUUUAUUCGUUAGCCGGUUGCACAGCAUGAACAUGUGGAACGUUCCGCAGAGAUUCACGGCGAGAAUGUAACCUUAUGUGGUCACCUCGAAAUAUCGCGCAUCAUUGAGAUGUUUAACAAGUGAUUGAGACUUAGUGACUGAAGUAGUUUAAUAAACGUGGUGCGUGAUAUACGUACCCCAAAGAGUU